AUUGAACGCUGGCGGAAUGCUUUACACAUGCAAGUCGAACGGCAGCACGGACUUCGGGCUGGUGGCGAGUGGCGAACGGGUGAGUAAUGUAUCGGAACGUGCCCAGUCGCGGGGGAUAACGUAGUGAAAAUUACGCUAAUACCGCAUACGAUCUAUGGAUGAAAGCGGGGGAUCGCAAGACCUCGCGCGAUUGGAGAGGCCGAUAGCAGAUUAGGUAGUUGGUGGGGUAAAUGCCCACCAAGCCAACGAUCUGUAGCUGGUCUGAGAGGACGACCAGCCACACUGGAACUGAGACACGGUCCAGACUCCUACGGGAGGCAGCAGUGGGGAAUUUUGGACAAUGGGCGAAAGCCUGAUCCAGCCAUUCCGCGUGCAGGAUGAAGGCCCUCGGGUUGUAAACUGCUUUUGUACAGAACGAAAAGGUUUCUACUAAUACUAGGAGCUCAUGACGGUACUGUAAGAAUAAGCACCGGCUAACUACGUGCCAGCAGCCGCAGUAA
rnacentral:rRNA from 1 species